rnacentral:rRNA from 1 species
UGGGGAAUAUUGCACAAUGGACGGAAGUCUGAUGCAGCAACGCCGCGUGCGGGAUGACGGCCUUCGGGUUGUAAACCGCUUUUUCUCAUGACGAAGUUUUUUGACGGUAGUGGGGGAAGAAGCACCGGCUACCUACGUGCCAGCAGCCGCGGUGAUACGGAGGGUGCGAGCGUUGUCCGGAAUUAUUGGGCGUAAAGAGCUUGUAGGCGGUUUGUCGCGUCGAUAGUGCAAACUCAGUGCUUAACGCUGAGCCUGCUGUUGAUACGGGCAGGCUAGAGGAAGGUAGGGGAGAAUGGAAUUCCCGGUGGAGCGGUGGAAUGCGCAGAUAUCGGGGGGAACACCGGUGGCGAAGGCGGUUCUCUGGGCCUUUCCUGACGCUGCGAAGCGAAAGCGUGGGGAGCGAACAGG